rnacentral:rRNA from 1 species
CGUAGGGCGCAAGCGUUGUCCGGAAUUAUUGGGCGUAAAGAGCUCGUAGGCGGUUUGUCGCGUCUGCUGUGAAAGCCCGGGGCUUAACCCGUGGUGUGCAGUGGGUACGGGCAGACUAGAGUGCAGUAGGGGAGACUGGAAUUCCUGGUGUAGCGGUGAAAUGCGCAGAUAUCAGGAGGAACACCGAUGGCGAAGGCAGGUCUCUGGGCUGUUACUGACGCUGAGGAGCGAAAGCAUGGGGAGCGAACAGGAUU